rnacentral:rRNA from 1 species
AAUGUGUAGCAAUACACAUGUACAGUGGCGAACGGGUGAGGAUUACAUGGGUAACCUACCCUCGAGUGGGGAAUAACUAGCCGAAAGGUUAGCUAAUACCGCGUACGCUUCCCGGACUGCGGUUCGGGAAGGAAAGCGAUACCGUGGGUAUCGCGCUCUUGGAUGGGCUCAUGCCCUAUCAGCUUGUUGGUGAGGUAACGGCUCACCAAGGCUUCGACGGGUAGCUGAUCUGAGAGGAUGAUCAGCCACACUGGCACUGCGACACGGGCCAGACUCCUACGGGAGGCAGCAGUAAGGAAUAUUGCGCAAUGGGCGAAAGCCUGACGCAGCGACGCCGCGUGGGGGAUGAAGGUCUUCGGAUUGUAAACCCCUUUCGGGAGGGAAGAUGGGAUGGGGUAACCCAUUCGGACGGUACCUCCAGAAGCAGCCACGGCUAACUUCGUGCCAGCAGCCGCGGUAAUACGAAGGUGGCAAGCGUUGUUCGGAUUUACUGGGCGUACAGGGAGCGUAGGCGGUUGGAUAAGCCCUCCGUGAAAUCUCCAGGCUUAACCUGGAAAGUGCAGAGGGGACUGUUCAGCUAGAGGAUGGGAGAGGAGCGCGGAAUUCCCGGUGUAGCGGUGAAAUGCGUAGAGAUCGGGAGGAAGGCCGGUGGCGAAGGCGGCGCUCUGGAACAUUUCUGACGCUGAGGCUCGAAAGCGUGGGGAGCAAACAGGAUUAGAUACCCUGGGUAGUCCACGCCUUAAACGAUGGAUACUAAGUGUCGGCGGGUUACCGCCGGUGCCGCAGCUAACGCAGUAAGUAU